AGCACUAGGCCCCUGGAAGGUUUGAGCAUUCAACUGUGUAAAGGAAGUAUCCCAUCUUUCAACAUUUCUAUACCACUUGAGCUGAGGAAUUCCAACCUGUCACACUCGGUUUAGGUGGUAUUCGUAGUAUAUGAAUGAAUGCAGAUAGGCUCAUUUAUCUUGUUGCAUAGAUAUAUGUGCAUGUAUAAACUUAUAUCACUGUAUUGGUAUUUAUGCAUAUAUAAAAUAAAUGUAUACAUACUAUGACAAACUUUAUGUUUAAUAUUUUUAUAUUUUGUUUUAAUCUUACGACAAUUCAAUCUGUUUCUCUCCCCUCCCCCCUCCAUGUAGCUGUUUAAUUAAAAAUAUGCAUGGUUACUUUUUCAGUUGGGUGAUCAUCAUAUAUAGUUUGUGUUAUUUAGUUUCUUAAUUACUGAUUUUUUCCUUAUUUUUGUUUGUUUGUUUGUUUGUUUUUGCUUUUAAGACCGGGUUUCUCUGUGCUCCUUGCUAUCCUGGAAUUCACUAUAAAGACCAUGCUAGUCUCAAUCAGACUCAUAGAGAUCCACCUGCCUCUGCCUCCUGAGUGCUGGGAUUAAAGGCGUGCGCUACCACCACCCAGUUUGAUGUUUUCUUAACAGGGAGCAUUGUAUUUCUUUUAUUUUCAAUAGUGUUGGCAAGAAAUGAAUGACUUUUUGCUUUCUAGAACAAUGGAAAGCAUACUUCUUCAUUUGUGACAUUUAUGCUUGGGAAGAUAAAGUGGUAAAAGUCAGCAUCUACUUACAUUUUCUCAUUGUGCAACAGUUAAAAGCUUUCUGGAGUAGUCUUCCUGAUCGAAGCACAGGACCACACAGGAUGACAUCUUUGCUUAUUGUGAUUUGGUGCUAUUGUUUAGUAGCUGUGCUGGGUCAGGAAGUGCCACAUGAGCUAGCACAUGCAAUAGAAUAGUGAAUAGUAUGCUCUCUCACUGUGUCACAGGUUAGCUAGAGCAAGGACUCCAGAGAAGAAGUCAUAAGCCAGGUGGUGCACACACCUGUUAUUUUUGUUCUUUUGAGGUUGAGGCAUGAGACACAGAGUUCAAGGUCAGCCUGGGUUACCUAUCAAGGUACUAUUUUAAAAUAAAAAAAUAAAAAAACCCAGGAAUUCUUCACAUUUGUGUUCAGGAUUUGUGUCAGUCACGCAGAAGCCCUCUCCAGAGUCCAGUGGCCAUCACUGUGGGGAAAGCUCACAGCCAUGCGUUUUUGCCACUGCAGUGGCUGCCAUUGCAUUUUUUUCCUAGGCAAUGCUACUGUCCACAAGGAUGUCAGAAUGCAGGGGUUUCUCAGGAUGCAGGUAACUGCUCAAAAACUUUACUACUAUCUGAUGACACUAAAGCAAACCACAUGCUUCUAUUUUACCUCUCAGAUAAUCCUUCUCACAGUUGGACAUCACGAGCUUGUACCCAUCUGUGAGUCUCUGCUAACAAACAGCAUUGCCAACAAAAAUAAUGCUGAGGGCAGAUAGCUCGCAGCCACGUGCUCUUAAACAUACGGAAAGAUUUUGAUGUUGGGGUUUUGAGUUUGUGAAUUUCCCCAGACUGCUGUCUGGCUAGUCUUGACAUUCUGAGUCAACCCUGUUUUUAGGAAGGAACACUUUGCUGGGUAACAUGCUACGUGCAACUGUUUAUCUGCAUCAGGGAUUUCUCCCUAGAGCUUAGAACAAAAUGAUUAUCAGUGGCAGAAAGUUUGGAACAGAAAUCUGAAGCUGUGGUCAUAUGGCAGAUAAAAUAUUACUAGAGAAUGCUUAUCUUGUUAAUAUAAAUAAUAAAAGGCAUCAGAUUUUAUGCUCUGCUCUGAGGCUUAUUCAGAUGCUAAUGAGAGUCGAGUCAUAGCUGAAAGUAUUUAGGGAAUUUUGCCUUGCCUCUUAAUGGCUUGGUCUUGACUAGCUUCAGUGAGGGGUUAUUGGUGUUCAUAGUGAGUCAUCUUGAUUUAGGGCUUAUGCACCAAGUGGUGAUGUGCUGAACAAGCCCUCUCUCAGCAUGGCUCUCCAGAAAGCCCUUGCCAGAUGAAGCUCAGAACAACUGGUGAGGCCUCUUGGGUUUGUGUGUAUCUUUGUGCAUCUCGUGAGUGCCUGAGAGUGCUGUAACACCUGCUGUGAACCCCAUCUCUGGCCUUUAGGAAGAAUGAGAGCUAGUGUGUGCACAGAAGCUUCUCCUCUGAUGCCUAAUGGGGAGCUGGAUUGGAUUGCCUGGACUUUUGUUCGCCAGGGUAAUUUAAUCUGUGUAAACAGUCAAGUUACCUAGGGGAACUGGAGAGUGUGGAGAGAGUGGCAUUGCACCUGCAGCCUGGUUACAAGUCACAGUAGUGGACUUACAAUGCACACAGCUUGUCUUUAAGCCACAGAAGCCCAACGCACUGAAGAGGCUUCCAGUCACAUUUGAUAUUCUACGUAACUAAAAUCUCCUAUUGGGAAAGGAGGUGCAGACCCAUGGGAGGUGAUGCUUGACACUGAGGAAAGCAGAGUCUGUCCUCUAGAAAGUGGAAACACAAGGACACGAGGACUGUGUCAUAGCGAUUAUCCCCACUUUCACAGAGGGUGCAGUUUCUUUAUGACUUAUGUAUUUUUUUAAAAGCAGAAAAAAGCCUCUGAAAUCAAAUGAUAUACAGGGAUUUUUUUCAAAUAUGGGCAUUUUCUACUGUGCAGUCAAGAGAUUAUAUGGAAUUUAGCUGUGUAAAAUGUGCUGUCUCCUUACCUUAUAGUUAUCAAAACCAAUGG
rnacentral:lncRNA from 1 species